UACAGAGGUCUCAAGCGUUGUUCGGAUUCAUUGGGCGUAAAGGGUGCGUAGGUGGCGUCGUAAGUCAGGUGUGAAAUUUCGGAGCUUAACUCCGAAACUGCAUUUGAUACUGCGGUGCUUGAGGACUGGAGAGGAGACUGGAAUUUACGGUGUAGCAGUGAAAUGCGUAGAUAUCGUGAGGAACACCAGAGGCGAAGGCGGCUUCCUGGACAAUUGCUGACGCUCAGGCACGAAAGCGUGGGGAGCAAAAGGG
rnacentral:rRNA from 1 species